AAUUUCUAUGCUGCCUGAAAAGCCUUUUCCCAGGCCUCCCUGCCCUCCAUUCCUUUGAUAAGACAGGUAUCAGACACUUUUUGAGCUUAGCUACACAGUUCCCAGGAGAAUGUCUAGACCUAUGCUUAUUUUGCAACAGAGAAUAAUGACAGGAAAGGGAGGCAGCCCCCAUAAAGGGAGUUCUGCUUUAAAGACAGAAAUGAGAAUCAUGUACUUUGAAUCUGCGUGUCCAUGGCUGCUGAAGUGUUCCAAGUAAUGGUCCUUGGAUAUUCUGGAUCCUUCUCCAACAUCCGCCAAAUGGCUUGCUGAAAGACCAGGAAUGGAACCAGAUGCUGGACACAGUUGAUACACAGUAAAUAAAUGCACUCUGACACCUUGGCUCUUGCUGUUUCUGAAGAGACUUCCCCUCAAAGGGUUAACUAACUCCUGAAGAUAAUGAAGGACUCAUCUGCAAGGAGACCUUUCAUACACAAGCCACUGUCCACACUGUCAAUACCUCCUUUGAUAAGCUCUUACACUUGGGCACCCUUUACUUGUGCCAAUUCUGUAGGGUCCCUAAGUCCCACAGUCCCAAGAAGUUAUUUAAGCUAGACAUUCCUAAACCUCUUCAUGUGGCCUGGCCCAUCCUUCUCCUGGAGAAACCACAGUACAGGCUCUCUCCACGCUUCUCCUCUCUUCCCACCUUCUGGCCCACCCCAGAGCUUCCCCAUGUAGCAUGUAGCCCUGCAAGGGCUAUACCAUGGCUUUGCAGGCAGCUGUGAGUACAGAUAUUUUCACUUCACAAUGGCCACUUCUGCACCUGUGUGUUAUACCACGACUGAUGAAAAUACAUUU
rnacentral:lncRNA from 1 species